UAAUGGAGGAAGUAGAGGAGACCAAUGGGAUUGGACGACGUCGUUUUUGCUCUUUGGAUUGUGGGGUGGACUCAUGUACUAUGUUUUCUUCCUUGCACCUAACCAAACCCCGGUAUCACAUCCUAUUUUUCUGCUAAAAAUAAUUCUGACUCAUGUACUAUGUUUUCUUCCUUGCACCUAACCAGACCCCGGUAUCACAUCUUAUUUUUCUGCUAAAAAUAAUUCUCUUUUCUUGUUCUUCCAGCCUAAAGUCAUGUUCUCUGCAUAUUUGUGCAUAAACAAUUAUGCGGUCUAUGUGAUCAUAUUUAUUU
rnacentral:lncRNA from 1 species